rnacentral:rRNA from 1 species
GACAGAGGGUGCAAGCGUUGUUCGGAAUUACUGGGCGUAAAGCGCGUGUAGGCGGCUCGGCAAGUCGGGUGUGAAAGCCCUGGGCUCAACCUAGGAAGUGCACUCGAAACUUCCGAGCUGGAGUGCUGGAGAGGAAGGCGGAAUUCUCGGUGUAGAGGUGAAAUGCGUAGAUAUCGAGAGGAACACCGGUGGCGAAGGCGGCCUUCUGGACAGUAACUGACGCUGAGACGCGAAAGCGUGGGGAGCAAACAGG